UUGGAGGGCAAGUCUGGUGCCAGCAGCCGCGGUAAUUCCAGCUCCAAUAGCGUAUAUUAAAGUUGUUGCAGUUAAAAAGCUCGUAGUUGAAUUUCGGGGUUAGUAGGUUGGUCAUGCCUCUGGUAUGUACUGGUCUCACUGAUUCCUCCUUCCUGAUGAACCGUAAUGCCAUUAAUUUGGUGUUGCGGGGAAUUUGGACUGUUACUUUGAAAAAAUUAGAGUGUUUAAAGCAAGCUAACGCUUGAAUACAUUAGCAUGGGAUAAUGAAAUAGGACGUUCGAUCCUAUUUUGUUGGUUUCUAGGAUUGACGUAAUGAUUAAUAGGGAUAGUUGGGGGCAUUAGUAUUCAAUUGUCAGAGGUGAAAUUCUUGGAUUUAUUGAAGACUAACUACUGCGAAAGCAUUUGCCAAGGAUGUUUUCAUUAAUCAAGAACGAAAGUUAGGGGAUCGAAGACGAUCAGAUACCGUCGUAGUCUUAACCAUAAACUAUGCCGACUAGGGAUCGGAUGAUGUUAAUUUUUUAAUGACUCAUUCGGCGCCUUACGGGAAAC
rnacentral:rRNA from 1 species